AAGUAUUGCACAAUGGGGGAAACCCGUCGAUGCAGCCAUGCCGCGUGUGUGAAGAAGGCCUUCGGGUUGUAAAGCACUUUCAGUAGGGAGGAAGGUAGUGUAGUUAACACCUGCAUUAUUUGACGUUACCUACAGAAGAAGCACCGGCUAACUCCGUGCCAGCAGCCGCGGUAAUACGGAGGGUGCGAGCGUUAAUCGGAAUUACUGGGCGUAAAGCGCAUGCAGGCGGCCUGUUAAGUCAGAUGUGAAAGCCCGGGGCUUAACCUCGGAAUUGCAUUUGAAACUGGCAGGCUAGAGUCUUGUAGAGGGGGGUAGGAAUUUCAGGUGUAGCGGUGAAAUGCGUAGAGAUCUGAAGGAAUACCAGUGGCGAAGGCGGCCCCCUGGACAAAGACUGACGCUCAGAUGCGAAAGCGUGGGGAGCAAACAGGAUUAGAUACCCUGGUAG
rnacentral:rRNA from 1 species